GUUGUAUGGUUAAGUGACUAAGCGUACACGGUGGAUGCCUUGGCAGUCAGAGGCGAUGAAGGACGUAUUAACUUGCGAUAAGCCCAGAUUAGACAGUAAAAGUCAUUUGAGUCUGGGAUUUCCGAAUGGGGAAACCCACUUACACAAGUAAGUAUCUAGUUGUGAAUACAUAGCAGCAAGAGGCAAACCGGGGGAACUGAAACAUCUAAGUACCGCGACGAAGAGAAAUCAACCGAGAUACCGAAAGUAGCGGCGAGCGAAAUUGGAUUAGCCCUGAAGCUUUUAAUGAGACAGACGAAGGCUCUGGAAAGUGGCGCAAUAAAGGGUGAU
rnacentral:rRNA from 1 species